GCGAACCUUGGAGGGGCUAUCUCCUCCGAUCUCAUGACUCCGAGACAAAUGACAAAUUUUCUUGAAUUUGUAUGUGCAGGGGUUAAAACAUUUUCUUUUUGUUAAUUGAAGGAGCAAAAGACAAUAAAUAUAAUUACAAUGUUGGUCUCUAGAGUCGAAAUCACAGAUUGGAUACCAGUAUAUGUAUAUCUUUUAGCUGACAAAUACAAAUACCGAUAUGAAUAUUAGUUGGAUGUAGAAAUUUAUAUUCAUAUUUAUUUUAAAUGAAUACGGAUACAAAUUGGAUAC
rnacentral:lncRNA from 1 species